UUACCCUGGGUUCACACCUAAGCGUUUUACAGCGCGUUCAAAUGCGCUGUAAAACACUCAACAUAUGAAAACCAAUGCUUCCCUAUUGCCCUGGUUCACACUUGAGCGUUUUUCUGCGCGUUUGAUUGCAUAGGAACGCGCAAAUAUGUUAUUUCGCGCGUUUUUGACCAUAAAAACGCACGUUCGAACGCGCGUUUGGCACGUAGCAACAGUCAUAAAAGGCCACACCCUAGUGAUCGGCAAGUGUCUAGCCUGACCAAGAUGGAGGAAGCAGGCUGUGAUAGUGAGACACUGAUCAGGCUUGUGCAGGCAAAACGCUGCCUGUAUGACAUCCAAGAUGCCAAGUACAAGAACAGGAGAAGCAGGCAUGGGAGGAUAUUGGAGCAAGCAUCUGGCCACAGUGGAAGACAUUCUCAAAAACUGUGAAAGAAGGCAAAGGUGAAAAAAAAAAAAAAACUCCUUGUGUGCACUGGUGUAAAAUCUCUAUGUAAUAGUCCAGCCCACCUCUACCUGCGGCCCUCCAGCUGUUGGCCAACUACAACUCCUAAUAUGCUGUGCUGCAUUUUACUUGCUGUAGCCUGUUUAAGCAUGCAUGGAGUUUUGCUACAGCUGGAGGGCCGCAGCUUCACCAUCCCUGUUCUAGUAUAUGGUCAGUCAAUGGUUCCCCAUCACCCACAUUCUUGCACAAUGUAGUCGGCCAGUAUGCUCAAUUUGCACUUGUUCCAAUCUGGCAAUGUAUUUUAAAUUCAAAUGUUGGCCUACAUUUGUGGUGCGGAUUUGGGUUAUAAAGUUGAUAUGGAUAUUGUCUAUGUUGAAACAUUAUUGUGCUUGUGGGCUAUUGCAGCACUGGCACAUGAUAGGUAAUUGUAUGUCUAUAUAGUACCAGUAUUGGGCACAUAAAUAGGAUCUGUAAUUCCGGCAACAUUGUUUUCCCUUGUUUUAAUGGACGAGUAUUGGGCACAAAAAUGGGAUCCGUAAUUCUGCCAACAUUGUUUUCCCUUGUUAAAGGACGAGUAUUGGUGGGCACUAUUGGGGCUUCUACAAGGGGCACGAUAUAGGUGAAAAAACGGCAUUGCACAAAUUCACUCUUCAAAUCUUUUAAUUCACCCAUUACAAUAAACAAAGAAAAUGGAAUAUUACAAGAUAAAGAAACAAUUUUUGCAGCUGCAAAACACUAAAUAAUAUUAAAUUAUAUGGCUUGCAUUUGCCACGGUAACUCCCCCUGUGGUGUCAUAAAAUAAGCCGCAAAGUGGUCUCGAAUGGCGGCACCAUGUGUGGUCCCACGCACACCGCUGCGAUUCUGCCUCUCCAUGGAAUGGCUCAACGAAUCUUCAAAAUUGAAGCCAUCCCUUUCACGGACAAAAUUGUGAAGAGCACAUGCUGCCUUCACAACCGAGAUGGCAGUCUCCAAUUUCAGAUUUAUGGGAGAAUGCAGAACUCGCCAUUUGUUGGCUAAGAUGCCAAAGGCGCAUUCCACCACCCUGCGUGCUCUUGUCAGGCGAUAGUUAAAAAUAUGCCGCGCAAUGGAUAAAUUACGGGUAGAGUAUGGCCUCAUAAGGUGCUCACCUAGACCAAAUGCCUCGUCACCAAUAAAAACAAAAGGCAUAGAAGGAAAAGUGGUGCCAGGCAGUGUGGUGUUUCCGGGAAGGUCAAGGGCAUUUCUACUGAGCAUUUGCCCAAAGUCAGAAUGCCCAAAAACAGCAGCGUCAGAGCUGCUGCCAUAGGACCCCACAUCGAUGUAACGGAAACAAUAGUUAGCAUCACAUACCGCAAAAAGAACAAACGAAAAGUAUUUUUUAUAAUUAAAAAAACUGACUGCCACUCCUCAUUGGCUUCAGAACGCGGAUGUGUUUUCCAUCAAUUGCUCCGACACAGUUUGGGAAAUUGCAGGUAUUUAUUUGGUUGGCCCAUCACAACAGCAUGAAGGACCUGCCAAAUGGCGCUGCAGGUUUCCCUCACAAUCACACUGACUGUGGAUUUCCCGAUCUGGAAGGUGUAGUGCAGACUGGUCAACGAUUGGCCUGUAGCUAAAUAGCUGAAAAAAAGGUGUGAAAAACGAAAACAACAAUUAAUGGAUGUUAUUUUAUUUUUGUUAUAGUAAACUUCCUAAAAAGCAAGUGGAAGAGCCUCAAAGAUGCCUUUAUUCGUCAUCGACGCAAAGAGAAGGAGCAGAGCUUCGCCAAGUGCACGGUCCAGCUAUGUCCAUGCGGAGGAAAUGGCCUUUCUAAUCCCAUGCACUGAAAUGCGUACACCGAUAGUAGCUGGUCGAAAAGACAACAGCAGGAGGAGGAAGAGGAGGAGGUCACCAGGGACAGUGAGGCCGGUGCGUCUACGGGGCCACUAAGUCCUACUCCACCCGAUCCCACCCCUACAUUCCAAACACCCUCACAGCCUGCCCCACCUGUCGUGGAACCCGAAAACAUUCGGACUCACCGUUCUAAACGGAAAAGAACUGAUCGCCAGGAGGACCGGCUAAUUGCAUGCCUGGAUGCACUUGCCCAUCCAGCACCCAAACUCACUAGUGAUGCACUUUUCUUACUGAGUUUGGAGGAAAAAAUGCUGCUAGUGCACCGAAGUCGCAUAACUGAAGCGAGGGAUGCCUUAACAAGGACUCUAGACAGCUACAUUACACAUUAUGACAUCACACAGCCCAACAAUGCACCACAACAACAUCCACCACACUAUCCACCACAGCAUCCACCACCCACUCACACAUACACAUCACAACAUACCCACAAACUAACAUACCACACCCUCACGACACAUGGCACACACACUCAUCCCUCCACUAGCAUGGGCACCAACACCUCCACCACCACUCAAAUGCAACCUGCCCAGCAAUCAGGCGGAAUGAGAGAGGCCAUGUGGGAUAACGAGCCACAAUACCAAAACCUUUGAGAAGUAGCAUACUUAAUUUGGUGCAUCAGGGGUGUUCUUCCUUCAUUGUUAAUAUCGGAAAAUUACCGAAUAAUUUUAAGUUAACAAUUACAAAACUUAUGUUGAUUGUGUUAAACCCAGUUUGCGCAUUUUUGGAGGAACUGUAAGAUGUUAUUACUUUUCCAAAAUAUAAAAACAUUUGCAAACUU